UAAUGAAAAACCAUUUGUUAAAUGGCACCAACAUGGCCUCGAUGACGUAACGUGCAAUCAAAGAAUUAUUACUGUGUAUUCUGACACUAUACAUUUUUAUCCCUUGCUCCUCUAGAUAUCUAUUUAAUAAUGUCAUAACCCAGCUACCAGACGGUGUGUUUGCAAACCUUACUCUUAAAUAUUUAUUUCUGAACGGGAAUAGACUGAAAAAACUGACAGGAAGACCAUUCAAAGGAAUGAAGAAAACCAAGACAGCAAUAUACUUCUUUGGAAAUGACAUACAACACAUUGAUAAUGACUACUUUAACGAUCUGGGAAACGAGACUAUGGU